UGCUCAUCUGUUUCAUAGCAGAACCAUCUCAAUAUACACAGGUAUCAUACAACACCAUGUUGUAUACGUUAAAUAUUCACACAAAAUGGGAAGGUCUAUUUAAUUCAUGGACAGUAUAAACCAAAAAGAAAUGGCAUUUCACUUGUUUCCCACCCUCCCCCCUCAAGUUUCUCCCACCCCCAGACCCUACCCAGGAGGCAGGUCUGGACUGUCUCCCCUUCUGGAGGAAUGAGCCUAAGAGCAGAUAGGAUUUCAGAGGGUCCUGCUGUCCCCUGCUCAGUUCCCCACCUUUCCUGGCUGUAGAGAGUUGGAACAAUAGAACUGACACUCAGACUACCAUCCUAAUUUGAGGGCUCUGACACCAACUGCAGUGACCCACCAGUAGGAUCCCCCUGCCACCAGAUUUUCUGGGAACCAUCUCAGGAUGCACCUGCUCUAUAAAAGUAUAAUCAUCUUCCCUCACUCUCAACAGAGUCCUGCUCCGAUGGGUUAGAUAUUCACUCUACUCAUCAGCAAGCAGGGUUUUGAUCUCCUCUAGUCCUAACUUCUCCCCAGCCCUGUCCAGUUCUUACCCAUCACAGAAGAAUCAGCUGUUAUAUCAGAGCUGGGGUAUGUUUCCAUUUGUACGUUCACUCCUAGGACUCACUCAAGAGUGAGGUUUGGUCACUGGUGGCCCAACUGCAUUAUCUUUCUUGGGUUACCUGGGUUUAAAUCACUGUUCUACUCCUUAUUAGUUCUUAACUUGGGGCAAAGAUCUCAACUACCCCAAGCUUAUGUCUUCUAUACAGUAAUUAACAUUAUUCUUGGGAUGACUGUAUAAUAUUAGAAGUACAAAAUAUUUUAGGAUUUUUAUAAGAUGGAAUGAGGAAAUUCACUUAACAGAUGGAUAGUCAGUAUCCAUCAGACAAAGAUUACUAGGAACAGAAGUGAACAAAAGCUGGGCUUAUUAACUCAUUAUAGUGAGAGGGUCUAUACGCUGUGGGAAACUAAGGAGCUUCAAGUAAAAGGAUGUUCAGAGGAAUCAUGAUAGGAUUUGAGCUUGAAUUAGGUGAUGUUGGAGCAGGUAAAAAGAAUUGAGAGUUAUGUUCAAGGAUUGAGUGAUUUCAGAAAGUCAGGUCCAUUCUAGCAGUGGAAACCUGAGCUUCUAUCUAAUGCAUGAGGGGAAAAGGUUGGAGCUAGAGUUGUCACUAGAGAAGAGGUACACAUCACUCACAGGGGUGGGGACACUUGGUCACUUUGUGGUUGUGUA
rnacentral:lncRNA from 1 species